rnacentral:lncRNA from 1 species
GUUUGCUUCUCAUUGGCAGGGUGGUCUGGGACAAAGGACUCCUCCUCUGCAUCCAACAACUGCAGGUGUUAACUGUGUGCCACGAGCUAGGGCUGCAUGUGCAAGGUCUCAGGGAAACCAGCAAAUACCUACGAUUAUUAUCCGGAAUGUACAUGGGAGGCGGCUGAUCACACAGCCGGAGUGCUGCUCAAAGUGUCGUUCCCGGAGCAGCAGCAGCAGCAUCUGAUAAUUUGUUAGAAAUGUAGAUUCUUGGGUCCCACUCCAGACUAAAUAAUCCGAAACGCUAGGGAUGGGGCCCAGCAAGGUGUGUUUUUAAAAGUCCUUCAAGUGAUUCUGGUGCACGCUCAACUUUGAGAACCAUUGAACAAGCAGCGGCAGGGCUGGAGUCAGAAUACAGGACUGAGCUAUUGAGGAGGCCAGAGGUUUAGCAGCGAUGGAGUCUGGAGAGAGGAGCCCAGGGGAGCAUGGAGAAGACCUUACCCAGCUACACUAGAUCAGGAGGAUGGACAUUCCCGACGGAGUAGAAAAGGGAGGCGUCCACUCACUCUAGACACGGUCACCCGUCUCCCCUAACUCCUAAUAGCUGAGUGAUUCCCCCACCCCCACCUCCCUUUCUUUCACACUAGAGACUCUUUGGGGCUCAAGUUCCUAAAGGGAGACUUUCUACAGAGGUUACCUUGAUCAUACGUUUUAGCCCCUUUACAGACCCUCAGGGCUCAUUCUAACUCACACUGCUCCAGCUGCCACCAUUCUUGUCACUUGUCUUGUUCGAUAGCUAUCUUUCUCAGGAUAAGGGCAUUUCCUAUUGAAGACUGGGGGAUGCUCCCCCUCAUUUCUCUCUUUCUGGGGGCUAGACACUCCUAUAUGAGUCUGACCCUAAGGUCUUUGCCCCACCCUUCCUCUAACUUUGCUCUGUGACCCUCAGGGAUUGUGUGAUCUUGACCUGGCCCUUGGAACUUAGUCAGGACCCAACAUGAUUUGAGGAUGAUGGGCUAGCCUGGACUCACAGCCUCCGUUCUUCCCCAGGACAGAGUCAUGUCCACUAACCCCAUCCUGGAGUUCCUGAGAAGGUGGUGCCCAGCUUCCCAAGGAAGCAGCAUCGUCUGUGUUGUGUGCUCCACGUUCUGGAAGCAAAUUACUCAUCCUAUUUUACUUGGGCUGAUUCUGGUUUUAAACAUGACUUUGAGUCCGCAGAAUAAUCAGCUGCCUAAUUUGGAGGCACAUGUAGUCCGCAGGAUGUGUGACCCACCCACCAU